CUUCGAAGGCGGAGGGAGGAAGGAGCGAAGAAAGGGGGCAGGAGACAGAAAGAAGACAACCCAGCGAGAGGGCGAGAAGCGGGCUAAGUUCGGGCCCGCUCUCCAAAACACCCUGACCCACAUCCAGCGCCUCCAUUACAAGUGGCAAUGAUGAGUGGAUUCAAACGUGGCAGUAAUGGUCCUUCAGAGCAGAAGUUGUAACUUGCCCUUGUGUUGUAGUGAAUCUCAGCUACACUGUUGGGUUGUGGCUCUUCUUGAGGUAGAAGAUCCUCUGCGACACAUGCUGCAAAGAGCUACACAGUUAUUUUGCAUAUUUUCAGAAAAUGAAGCAAACUGCCAUGUAGCUGAAAUGAAGGAGUGAAACUGUGAAGGAUCUAUAAUAAUUUCCUUCUCUGUAGGCUCACAUGUUUUUCCUGAGGAAUUUAAGCCUAUUAAUAUAAGUACAGUAAAUAAGAUUAUUGUACAUUCGAAUGUCACUCCUACCUACAUCAUAGACAUUUCCUGUAAUUAGACUAAAACUACACAUUGAACAAAAAGGCAAUAGCAGUCAUGCUUGGUUAAAACUUGCCAAACACAGACAUUUUUAUUGUUUGGUGUUGUAAUAACACCUUCAGAAAGUUUUAUCUUUCAUGCUAUCAUUUUUUCUCAGUACAAGAAACAAUAGUUCCUUUGUCUCCGUUUCUGAUUUCUAAGACAGCUUAGCCUUUGUGUCUUACUGUAUUAUGACUCUCUUAACUGGCACUUGUACCAGUCCUGCUGAGAUUUACAACUAUAUCCUUUAUAUAUGUUUGUCCUUCAGAGGUAAACAAGACUUAAAUGCUUAAAGUUAAGGACGUGAGGCACUGGGAAAACUGAGUCUGCAGUCUUUAAAUUUAGAAGCUUGAUCUUCUUUCACUUUCACUGGUACAGAAACAGCAGCAGAAUUAGGCCAAACUUAAGAGAACCGCAACUUUUGUGUGACCUUACUGCUCCUGUCACAUGAUAAUUUGCAUUUUAUUGUAAAGAAGAUAGGUUUCAAAUAAAGCAAAGUUGUAAAUUUCUAC